rnacentral:rRNA from 1 species
UACGUAGGGGGCAAGCGUUGUCCGGAAUCAUUGGGCGUAAAGAGCGCGUAGGCGGCCCUGUAAGUCCGCUGUGAAAGUCAAGGGCUCAACCCUUGGAUGCCGGUGGAUACUGCAGGGCUAGAGUCCGGAAGAGGCGAGUGGAAUUCCUGGUGUAGCGGUGAAAUGCGCAGAUAUCAGGAGGAACACCGAUGGCGAAGGCAGGUCUCUGGGCUGACACUGACGCUCAUGCACGAAAGCGUGGGGAGCAAACAGG